rnacentral:rRNA from 1 species
GACAGAGGGUGCAAACGUUGCUCGGAAUUACUGGGCGUAAAGCGAGCGUAGUCGGUUAUUUAAGUCGGGUGUGAAAGCCCCGGGCUCAACCUGGGAAUUGCAUUCGAUACUGGAUAGCUAGAGUUCGGCAGAGGGAAGCGGAAUUUCCGGUGUAGCGGUGAAAUGCGUAGAUAUCGGAAGGAACAUCAGUGGCGAAAGCGGCUUCCUGGACCAGAACUGACGAUCAGGCUCGAAAGCGUGGGGAGCAAACAGG